rnacentral:rRNA from 1 species
CUACGUGCCAGCAGCCGCGGUAAUACGUAGGUCCCGAGCGUUGUCCGGAUUUAUUGGGCGUAAAGCGAGCGCAGGCGGUUAGAUAAGUCUGAAGUUAAAGGCUGUGGCUUAACCAUAGUACGCUUUGGAAACUGUUUAACUUGAGUGCAAGAGGGGAGAGUGGAAUUCCAUGUGUAGCGGUGAAAUGCGUAGAUAUAUGGAGGAACACCGGUGGCGAAAGCGGCUCUCUGGCUUGUAACUGACGCUGAGGCUCGAAAGCGUGGGGAGCAAACAGGAUUAGAUACCCUGGUAGUCCACGCCGUAAACGAUGAGUGCUAGGUGUUAGACCCUUUCCGGGGUUUAGUGCCGUAGCUAACGCAUUAAGCACUCCGCCUGGGGAGUACGACCGCAAGGUUGAAACUCAAAGGAAUUGACGGGGGCCCGCACAAGCAGUGGAGUACGUGGUUUAAUUCGAUGCAACGCGAAGAACCUUACCAGGGCU